rnacentral:rRNA from 1 species
GCGCAGCAGGCGAGAAUAGUCUACAAUGGACGAAAGUCUGAUAGUGCGACGCCGUGUGUGCGAUUAAUUCCUUCGGGAUGUAAAGCACUUUUUCUAUGAGAUAAAAGCUCUUUUAGGUUAAUAGCUUAUUGAGACGGGAUAUUAUUAUAGGAAUAAGCUCCGGCUAACUCCGUGCCAGCAGCCGCGGUAAUACGGAAGGAGCGAGCGUUGUCCGGAUUUACUAGGCGUAAAGGGCUAGUAGGCGACUAAUUAAGUUAUAUGUUAAAUCCCACGGCUCAACUGUGGUCCUGCAUGUAAUACUGGUUAGAUAGAGUACUGUAGAGGAAGGCAGAAUUCCUGGAGUAGCGGUGGAAUGCGCAGAUAUCAGGAAGAAUACCAAAAGCGAAGGCAGCCUUCUGGGCAGUUACUGACGCUGAAUAGCGAAGGUGUGGGUAGCGAACA